rnacentral:rRNA from 1 species
UACAGAGGGGGCAAGCGUUGUUCGGAAUUACUGGGCGUAAAGGGCGCGUAGGCGGCCUGCUAAGUCGAACGUGAAAUCCCCGGGCUCAACCCGGGAACUGCGUCCGAUACUGGUUGGCUUGAAUCCGGGAGAGGGAUGCGGAAUUCCAGGUGUAGCGGUGAAAUGCGUAGAUAUCUGGAGGAACACCGGUGGCGAAGGCGGGUCUCUGGGCCGUAACUGACGCUGAGGAGCGAAAGCGUGGGGAGCGAACAGG